AGACCGAUAGCGAACAAGUAGAGUGAUCGAAAGAUGAAAAGCACUUUGAAAAGAGAGUUAAAAAGCACGUGAAAUUGUUGAAAGGGAAGCGCUUGCGACCAGACUUGCGCCCGCCGGAUCAACCGUCGCUUGUCGGCGGCUCACUCCGGCGGGCUCAGGCCAGCAUCAGUUUCCCUGGGGGGAGAAAGGCGGUGGGAAUGUGGCUCCUCGGAGUGUUAUAGCCCGCCGCGUAAUACCCUCGGGGGGACUGAGGACCGCGCAUCUGCAAGGAUGCUGGCGUAAUGGUUGUCAGCGACCCGUCUUGAAACACGGACCAAG
rnacentral:rRNA from 1 species